rnacentral:rRNA from 1 species
CUACGGGGUGCUGCAGUGAGGAAUAUUGCACAAUGGGGGGAACCCUGAUGCAGCAACGCCGCGUGGAGGAUGGCGCAUUUCGGUGUGUAAACUCCUUUUAUAUGUCAAGAAAAUGACGGUAGCAUAUGAAUAAGCACCGGCUAACUCCGUGCCAGCAGCCGCGGUAAUACGGAGGGUGCAAGCGUUACUAGGAAUCACUGGGCGUAAAGGACGCGUAGGCGGGUUGGAAAGUCAGGUGUGAAAUCCUACAGCUUAACUGUAGAACUGCACUUGAAACUUCUAAUCUAGAGUAUGGGAGGGGGAGAUGGAAUUAGUGGUGUAGGGGUAAAAUCCGUAGAUAUCACUAGGAAUACCUAAAGCGAAGGCGAUCUCCUGGAACAUUACUGACGCUAAGGCGUGAAAGCGUGGGGAGCAAACAGGAUUAGAUACCCGAGUAGUC